rnacentral:rRNA from 1 species
GACGAACGCUGGCGGCGUGCUUAACACAUGCAAGUCGAACGGUAAGGCCCUUCGGGGUACACAAGUGGCGAACGGGUGAGUAACACGUGGGUGAUCUGCCCUGCACUUCGGGAUAAGCCUGGGAAACUGGGUCUAAUACCGGAUAGGACCACUGCCUACAUGGGUGGUGGUGGAAAGCUUUUGCGGUGUGGGAUGGGCCCGCGGCCUAUCAGCUUGUUGGUGGGGUGAUGGCCUACCAAGGCGACGACGGGUAGCCGGCCUGAGAGGGUGACCGGCCACACUGGGACUGAGAUACGGCCCAGACUCCUACGGGAGGCAGCAGCGGGGAAUAUUGCACAAUGGGCGCAAGCCUGAUGCAGCGACGCCGCGUGAGGGAUGACGGCCUUCGGGUUGUAAACCUCUUUCAGCACCGACGAAGCGCAAGUGACGGUAGGUGCAGAAGAAGGACCGGCCAACUACGUGCCAGCCGCCGCCGUAA